CAGUAGCCACGGGAAUACAGAGGGUGCAAGCGUUAAUCGGAAUUACUGGGCGUAAAGCGCGCGUAGGUGGUUCGCCAAGUUGGAUGUGAAAUCCCCGGGCUCAACCUGGGAACUGCAUCCAAAACUGGCGAGCUAGAGUAUGGUAGAGGGUGGUGGAAUUUCCUGUGUAGCGGUGAAAUGCGUAGAUAUAGGAAGGAACACCAGUGGCGAAGGCGACCACCUGGACUGAUACUGACACUGAGGUGCGAAAGCGUGGGGAGCAAACAGGAUUAGAUACCCCCGUAGUCCCUGUCUCUUAUAC
rnacentral:rRNA from 1 species